rnacentral:misc_RNA from 1 species
CUGAGUUUACGCUCUACAACCCUUUGUGAACAUACCUAUAACUGUUGCUUCGGCGGGUAGGGUCUCCGCGACACUCCCGGCCUCCCGCCCCCGGGCGGGUCGGCGCCCGCCGGAGGAUAACCAAACUCUGAUGUAACGACGUUUCUUCUGAGUGGUACAAGCAAAUAAUCAA